GCCAGUGUGGCCUAGUGGUUUCAGCAUUGGACUAUGGCUCUGCAGACCAGGGUUCAAUUCCCAGCUUGGCCA
rnacentral:tRNA from 1 species